rnacentral:lncRNA from 1 species
GUUUUUCUUUUUAACUUUAUAAUAAAUCUUUUGGGAUAAGUAAGCUGAUGCUGAUAUACUUUGUUGUUGUGCUGCGUUAAAUUUUUCAAAUCAUAAAUCACCUCGCAGGUUUCCAUAUUUUUUGCCCUGCUUUGUUAUAUCAGCUUUUGCAUUUGCAGUAGCAAUUGCCUGCAUUUGGUUACCGGUAUGAAUCUUAAUUUCCUCAGCCAUAUAUAUGUAGUGCGGCUAUAUAUGUAUAUGUGUGCGUGCAUAUAACUGCAGGAAACACUUCACUACCAUAAUGGCAGCAAGGAGUCCACUGACAAUGUGGAAGCUGCAGAAGUUGGAAGCAGUGAGAGUAAGAAAGAUAAGAUGAUUGAAAAAGAUGAAAGCCUAUUUCUAAAUUGGCCUUUCAUGUCAUCUAUUAUUGUUUACGGUCUCUGCUCUCUCCAUGAUAUUACUUAUCAAGAGGUACCGGUAUUGUAAUAUACCAGCUUUCUCUGUACCC